GCAAAAUUGUAUGUAGUAUCUUCAAUCAAGAUGGCUGCAAUGGCCUCUGCGCAAGCAAAUGGAUAAUGUGAGUAUUUAUUUAUUUAUUAACCCCUGAAAGGCCUAAAUUGUAGCCUCAGAUACCACGGUCAAUGAUGAAUGCAGCAUCUGGGGGGUUCAAU